rnacentral:ncRNA from 1 species
AAAUUCCAAUCUAGGCAAGGGGUGAAGCCGCCUCACCUAGAAUCGAGUCUUGGGGGUGGGAAGGUAACGACCCACGCUAAGCGUAGACAGAGCGAAAUUAGGCCGUAACGUAAGUGAAGCGAUUGAGCCUCGUUAAAACAUCCGGAGGCCGACAAGGUCGAAAACUUGGAAGGCUAUAGUAACUUUCCGCUAAUGGCAAGGAAAGUGGAGACUCCGGCGGGGUCUGAGAGCA